rnacentral:rRNA from 1 species
CCGCACGGGUGAGUAACGCGUAUCCAACCUGCCGUCUACUCUUGGACAGCCUUCUGAAAGGAAGAUUAAUACAAGAUGGCAUCAUGAGUCCGCAUGUUCACAUGAUUAAAGGUAUUCCGGUAGACGAUGGGGAUGCGUUCCAUUAGAUAGUAGGCGGGGUAACGGCCCACCUAGUCUUCGAUGGACAGGGGUUCUGAGAGGAAGGUCCCCCACAUUGGAACUGAGACACGGUCCAA